rnacentral:rRNA from 1 species
GAUGAACGCUAGCGGCAGGCUUAAUACAUGCAAGUUGAGGGGCAGCAUGAUAUACGCGAGUAUAUUGAUGGCGACCGGCGGACGGGUGAGUAAUAGGUAGGAGACCUACCUCAUACAGGGGGAUAGCAUAGAGAAAUCUGUGGUAAUACCCCAUGAGGUUAUAUGAAUAGAGGCAUAUAAUCAAAGCAUAAGUGAUUAUGCGGUAUGAGAGGGGCCUACUGACCAUUAGCUAGUUGGUGAGGUAAGGGCUCACCAAGGCGAAGAUGGUUAGGGGUUUUGAGAGAGAGACCCCCCACAUUGGAACUGAGAGACGGUCCAGACUCCUACGGGAGGCAGCAGUAGGGAAUAUUGGGCAAUGGGCGAAAGCCUGACCCAGCCAUGCCGCGUGAAGGAAGACGGCCUUAUGGGUUGUAAACUUCUUUACUACGCGAAUAGAGGUUAGUACGAGAUACUAAUAGGAAGGUAGUGUAGUAAAAAGCAACCGGCUAACUCCGU